rnacentral:lncRNA from 1 species
CAGCUCCAUGGCCCGCAACCGAGGGCUCAGAUACGUAGGGGCUGGUGCCGGUAGGAGAAGGGAGUGGCUCAUCCAGUGGGUUCACUCCUCUCCCUGAUCUGGUGGUAGUUUAUCUAGAGAGGCCUGGACUCACUUGAAGAAACCCCCAGGCUAGGACAAAGGUGUCUCUGCUCCACUACAUACAUGUAACAGCACAGGAUUGUCCUAGGGCGUUUCUGUGAGCUUGGGGUGCUGGGCUUCUGAGUUUGGGGUAUAUCUGAGAGGGAACGUCCAUGGUGAGCUGGGGUGUUGCUUGAGUUGAGUUGCAUCUGUGUGCCCGGGCGUCGUGAAUCAAGGGUUUGUAUGGCUUGGUGUGUUUGUGCUUUAGGGCUUACGAUUCAGAGUGUGUGUUUGAGUUGGGGUGUAGGCUGGAUGUUUAUGUGUGGUGGGGUUUACAUCUUCGAAUUGGCCGUGUCUGAGGUAUGCCAUAUGCCUCUGAGUAGGGGGUGUAUCUUUGUGAGCUAAAGAUUCUAAGUUUUGAAGUGUCC